GUUCCCCCUCCCGUCCUCGCACGCGCAGAUCCUCCGGAGUCCGGCCUCUCGCGUCUUCGUUCCCCCUCCUCCCGUCCUCCAGCUUGCAUGCGCAGAUCACCGCCUGCUAGCCUCCUGCGUCUUCUGCGGCAGCCAUGGUUCCGGCCUCCCCUUCCUGUCGGCGGCGGCAACAGCAGGUGUGGUGACGGUCAUCGCGUCGCAUCGCAGCCUGGACAACGGCUGGCAAGUUCCAGGAUCACCGGUCAGGCCUAGGCUCUCCCGCUCUCGAGGACGAGGGGAUCAGUACAGCCAACGUUGGAGCAGAGGUAGAGAGCCAAGUUGUGAUAUUUCAUGGCUGCUAGCUGCUGAUCACAGUUCUUUUUCCGUGUAUGUGGAUACACAUGCUUUUCUUUUGGUUGAACAGUGUUUAUACUCUGAAAAUUUGUGUAGCAUCGUUCUCCAGUGCUGGCCUCCAUAUACAUGCCUUGUGCAUGCCAUUUGUUCGAUGAAAUGUAUCAGUGAAAUAGCUAAGUUGUGUACUUGUGUAUCAAUCAUCCAUUCAUCCCUAUCC